AUUGAACGCUGGCGGCAUGCUUUACACAUGCAAGUCGAACGGCAGCACAGGGAGCUUGCUCCCGGGUGGCGAGUGGCGCACGGGUGAGUAAUACAUCGGAACGUGUCCUGUUGUGGGGGAUAACUGCUCGAAAGGGUGGCUAAUACCGCAUGAGACCUGAGGGUGAAAGCGGGGGAUCGCAAGACCUCGCGCAAUUGGAGCGGCCGAUGCCCGAUUAGCUAGUUGGUGAGGUAAUGGCCCACCAAGGCGACGAUUGGUAGCCGGACUGAGAGGUUGAACGGCCACAUUGGGACUGAGACACGGCCCAGACUCCUACGGGAGGCAGCAGUGGGGGAUAUUGCACAAUGGGGGAAACCCUGAUGCAGCGACGCCGCGUGGAGGAAGAAGGUUUUCGGAUUGUAAACUCCUGUCGUUAGGGACGAUAAUGACGGUACCUAACAAGAAAGCACCGGCUAACUACGUG
rnacentral:rRNA from 1 species